CGUGAACACCACCAUGAAGCCCCGACGUCCUUUGAACUUUCAAGAAAUGGUGGAUUGCUCCAUCUCGUGUGGUUUCGCUGUCCCGUCCCAAGAAUCGAGCCAACGCGACCGAGGCCACUUCUGAGAGAUAAAUAUUCAGGAUGCCAGAUUUGUGGAACACAAUUGAGGCCAGUAGUCAAGAGCCAUGAUCAGGGAACAGCAGUUCCCAACGGAAUUGACCCUUUUCUUGUUGUAAUUCAUGCUGUUGGCUCAGAAUGGGUUGACACUCACCUGUUUUCGACCCUGAAAAUUAAACAUCGAACAUUGUUAUUCUUUGUUAAAAAUGAACCUUGCAAAAUAUGUGCUUAUUCCUGAAAUCAAUAGCACUUCAUGUAUGUACUCGCUGUUCCAGAAUAUUGCUAUUUCUUGUUCCGUUUUCAAUGUGGCAAUCCAUUUACCGUAUCGGAGCUAUUUCACAGCACAAGAAGUGCAACAUUACAACAAUGGAGCUAUUUUUUGAUCACAGCAAAAAUGUGUUUCUACAUUGUUUUACUCAAAUGAUGCAUGGAUGAGCCUUAUUGACAUAUUUGUUUUCAAGAGGAAUUGGUUGUAGGUUUUCUUUCUUUUUUCUUAAGGCAGGCCUAAUUUAACGGAAGGCCUAUAUUUUAGGUAGGAUAUUAUUUAUUCUAUAGGCCCAUAUCAGUUUUGAGAUCAAUUUCCUCUUGAAGACAAUAAACGUCAAUCGAGUCUCUGCACCAUUUUGAUUGGGCGGUUUUGGGCUAAAAUACAGUACAAGAGAAUGCUCCGUUGGUGUUAACAGAAUAUGUCAUUGUUUUGGUCAGCAAUCAGUUCUUGCCACCUUGAAAGCGGUCACGGUUACUUACGACUUGUACAUUGUUCAAUUGUUAUUAUGCUAUUGUCAUUUGCCUUCCCCCCCGCGCGCCCCAACCUUAUCGACACUCACAGUGCACCACCCUCCAUCCCAUGCCCCACAUGCGCACUGACCCAACAUCUGAUCCCUUGACACCCAUGACCCGCAUGCGCACUGACCCAACAUCUGAUCCCUUGACACGCUUGCUCAAGCGCCUCAAGCAGUAUCAACGUUGUGUUAUUGUAUUCCAAGGUUUGCAUUAUUCAUAUGUAUGUACUUGCCAAAUAAAUGUUGUCAUAUCAUAACCUUCGUCUCUUGUCCUUCGGUCAAUAAGUGUGCGGAUCACUCCCAACAAGUUCGAUUAACACACUACACUAUCUUCACGUGCAACAAUUUACGGUCAGCCUUUUCUGAUUCCGCA